rnacentral:rRNA from 1 species
AUUGAACGCUGGCGGGAUGCUUUACACAUGCAAGUCGAACGGCAGCACGGACUUCGGUCUGGUGGCGAGUGGCGAACGGGUGAGUGAUGUAUCGGAACGUGCCCAGCCGUGGGGGAUAACGUAGUGAAAAUUACGCUAAUACCGCAUACGAUCUAUGGAUGAAAGCGGGGGCUUGCCAGACCUCGCGAGCUUGGAGCGGCCGCUAUCAGAUUAGGUAGGUGGUGGGGUAAAGGCCCACCAAGCCAACGAUCUGUAGCUGGUCUGAGAGGACGACCAGCCACACUGGAACUGAGACACGGUCCAGACUCCUACGGGAGGCAGCAGUGGGGAAUUUUGGACAAUGGGCGAAAGCCUGAUCCAGCCAUUCCGCGUGCAGGAUGAAGGCCCUCGGGUUGUAAACUGCUUUUGUACAGAACGAAAAGGUUUCUACUAAUACUAGGAGCUCAUGACGGUACUGUAAGAAUAAGCACCGGCUAACUACGUGCCAGCCGCCGCCGUAA